AACAGGGAUUGCCUCAGUAACGGCGAGUGAAGCGGCAACAGCUCAAAUUUGAAAUCUGGCUCCUUUGGGGUCCGAGUUGUAAUUUGGAGAAGAUGCUUCGGGUACGGUCCCGGUCUAAGUUCCUUGGAACAGGACGUCACAGAGGGUGAGAAUCCCGUACGUGGUCGGUGGCCGUGCCCGUGUGAAGCUCUUUCGACGAGUCGAGUUGUUUGGGAAUGCAGCUCAAAAUGGGUGGUAAAUUUCAUCUAAAGCUAAAUAUUGGCCAGAGACCGAUAGCGCACAAGUAGAGUGAUCGAAAGAUGAAAAGCACUUUGGAAAGAGAGUUAAACAGUACGUGAAAUUGUUGAAAGGGAAGCGCUUGCAACCAGACUUGCGCGCGGUCGAUCAUCCUGGGUUCGCCCGGGUGCACUCGGCCGCGCUCAGGCCAGCAUCGGUUCGGGUGGUUGGAUAAAGGCCUCGGGAACGUGGCUCCCCUCGGGGAGUGUUAUAGCCCGAGGUGCAAUGCAGCCUACCUGGACCGAGGACCGCGCUUCGGCUAGGAUGCUGGCGUAAUGGUUGUAAGCGACCCGUCUUGAAACACGGACCAAGGAGUCUAACAUCUAUGCGAGUGUUUGGGUGUCAAACCCAUGCGCGUAAUGAAAGUGAACGGAGGUGAGAGCCCUUAAGGGUGCAUCAUCGACCGAUCCUGAUGUCUUCGGAUGGAUUUGAGUAAGAGCAUAGCUGUUGGGACCCGAAAGAUGGUGAACUAUGCCUGAAUAGGGUGAAGCCAGAGGAAACUCUGGUGGAGGCUCGCAGCGGUUCUGACGUGCAAAUCGAUCGUCAAAUUUGGCAUAGGGCGAAAGACUAAUCGAACCAUCU
rnacentral:rRNA from 1 species